rnacentral:rRNA from 1 species
UUGCCGGCGACCGGCGCACGGGUGAGUAACGCGUAUCCCACUCUUCCGCUUACUCGGGGAUAGCCUUUCGAAAGAAAGAUUACUACCCGAUGGUAUCUUAAGCACGCAUGAGAUUAAGAUUAAAGAUUUAUCGGUAAGCGAUGGGGAUGCGUUCCAUUAGGCAGUUGGCGGGGUAACGGCCCACCAAACCUACGAUGGAUAGGGGUUCUGAGAGGAAGGUCCCCCACAUUGGAACUGAGACACGGUCCAAACUCCUACGGGAGGCAGCAGUGAGGAAUAUUGGUCAAUGGGCGAGAGCCUGAACCAGCCAAGUAGCGUGAAGGAUGACGGCCCUACGGGUUGUAAACUUCUUUUGUGCGGGAAUAAAGGAGCCUACGUGUAGGCUUUUGCAUGUACCGUAACGAAUAAGCAUCGGCUAACUCCGUGCCAGCAGCCGCGGUAAUACGGAGGAUGCGAGCGUUAUCCGGAUUUAUUGGGUUUAAAGGGAGCGUAGACGGGUUUUUAAGUCAGCUGUGAAAGUUUGGGGCUCAACCUUAAAAUUGCAGUUGAAACUGGAGACCUUGAGUACGGUUGAGGCAGGCGGAAUUCGUGGUGUAGCGGUGAAAUGCUUAGAUAUCACGAAGAACUCCGAUUG